UUUUCUCUAUCUAAAAACUUGACCUUUCUUUCAUUUCAUAGACUGGCCCAGCAGAUCGAAAUCUGCUGCUUUUCUUCUACCUGACCAAGAUCUAAGCUCCUUCAAUGGUGUUGCCAGUCCACUCACUUUAUUCCUUCUUUGUUUUUAUUAAAAAUAAUUAUUUGUUAUUUUCUGUUUUUUUUGCCUCUAGUCUGAAUUUUUAUGAUUCCGAUUUAUUGGGUCCUGGAGGUACUGCUUAAUGAUUCAAUCCAUGGGCGAUUCUUGAGGAGAGGUGGUUACAUGAUGUGGGUCUGAGGUAAAAUUAUAUUCCCUUUAUAUGUGAUCAGAUUUAUGGGUUUUUGUUUCCUUUUUGUUUUGGGGUUAAUAUAUAUGAUAUAAUGAUACUCUGGUCUAAGUUUGGGUUUAGAGAAAUAAUAUUUUUGUUGCCCUGGAACAAUUGGGGUUAUGCAUUCUCCUUUUAUCUAGUAGCUCACUAUAUUGUUUAUUGAGGAUGAAUAUGAUGAUUGAUCAGUAUACUGUUAUAGUUUCCUUUUCUAGUUGGAUUCUCCUUGUUUGACACUUUCAAAAAUAAAUAAAUUAUGACUUUCCUUGUUGAUGAUAAGAAUUCUUGGAGUUUUAGUAUGUUAAGUCAAAUCACUACUCUGCUUUUGAGAUUGGAAGGGUUUAUAACACAUGGUCUUGACCCUGUUAUCUAGAAUUCCUUAUAUCAAAUUUAAUGUGGGCGUGGGUUGAUUAUGUGCAUGCUGAUUAAUACACCUUAAUUUGGAUUGCAUGGAUUUAAAUUUAAUUUGUUAAAGGGAUUUUUUGCUGCAUAUAUAAGGAAUCACUCAAUUGCUUAUUAUCCCACAUCAACAAGAAUUUUGAGCUCUGUUUGAUCUAUAAUUUUUCGGAACCUCCCCAUAGUUACCUUUAGAUGCACGUUUAAAAUGAAUCCAUUCAUAGACAUUUUAAAGCAAAUAUGCUGCAAGAUUGCAUUUCUAUUGCUACAUAAGUUAUCUGCUUGUGUUAGCAUGCAAGUAUUUGUGACCGUUUUCAAUAUCCGAGGUCUAGAGAUAUAGCUUUAUCUAUGUUUGUGUUCUUUCUUAUAUGUCCAUGUUUCAGCUUGUGUCUUAGAGCCCCCGUUCAGCACCGACUUAUUUUAAAAUGACUUAAAGUUAAAAUAUAAGUUGACUUAUAAGUUAUUUUAAGUUGUGACUUAUAAGUAAAAGCGUUCGGCGCCAAUUUGACUUAUAAGUCAAAAAUUAAGUUAAAAUAAGUUAUGAAGGUAUUCGGCUGAUAAUGAUUUAUAAGUUAAAAUUAAAUGUAAAGAUUACUAAAAAGGAUAUUAAUAAAAAGAUACAUCGAUUUAAUAUCAUAUCAUAACAAUCAUCAACAAUUUCAUUAAAUAAAACACUAAACAAAUUUUCUAAACAUAUCAACUACAAUCUUAUUCCAAGUUAGAGAUUCUUAAUGCAAUAUUAUCUCUCAUUCCGAGUUUAGUUGUAGUGAAAUCCGGAAAAAUGAAAUCUAGAGGUGAAGGAAGACUUUCUUUCUAAUUGCUUCUACCACAUUGAAUUUUUUUUUUAUAGUUUAUUCAGGUGCUAAUAUUUCACUUCUAAAACCAAAUGAGAAAGAUUUUAUAGCCAUUAAUGACAAUGUUACAAUCAGUUGGCUUCAGCCCAAAACGUAGGUAAAUCAUCACCAACCUUAUGGAAUCAAUAUAUGAUUUAUACGACCCAAUAAAUCGUUUGUGCUGUUCUAAUAAAACAAACUGAUAGUUCUAUGCAGAUUUUUUAACAGCAUGAAAAAGUGGCAAUAGCUAAGCAGCUAACAAAAUAGAUAUAGUUAAAUGGUGAGAAUUCUAGAAAGAAAGUACAUCAACUCAAAAGAGAACUAAGGACAGAAAACUCACGCAUCUGAUUUAGUAUAAUUAAUAUAACAAACAUCCAACAUUCAGAAUAAAAAAUUUCCAGUAAAAAAAGACCACCAUUUAUGGUUUUCUAACUUAAAUCACCCAACAAAUUCUUGUGAUCAAAAACUAAAAUUUAUAGGGACUUGAUAAGUUAUCUUCUAAUUACCAGAAAUUUGCAGGAGGAGGAGUUUGUUGAUGUAGAAGUAGAACACAACUUGUUUGAUUUUCUGCAAUGGUGUGCCAGGAAGGUGCCUCUGAUACAAAUGUUUAAUCCCAACUCUAAUGAGGUUAACCAAUUUAAACCAAAUGAAUUAAUUAACUACGACUAGAAAUGGAAAUGAAGGAACAACAAUAGUAGCAGAAAAUUGAAAGGAAACAGUGACCUACACUGGUACAUUCGUGUAUAGUGCAAAAAUAUAAUUUUGCACCAAUAUAUUUAUAUCCAAUUGUUAAGCAGAACUCUGGUUAAAUCUAUAUAAACAAUAGUAGAACCCAAGUUACUGAAAAUUACUAAAAUUAAGCUGCUCACAUAUUCCUAAUUAAGCACAACCCAGUAUACAACAAUUCAUUCAAUCAAUCAAACAUGUGAACCACAUAAAUUAACAAAAAAUGAAAUUGAAUUGAAACCCACAGACUCUGAAACUACAGUCAAAAUUAAAGAGGUAAAGAAGAAGAAAAAACACAUGCCAAAGAUUCAAACAUAACAUAAUACACACAUAUACACAUAUCAAAUAUUUGGUCUAAGGUUUGGUAUCUAACAACAAUCGAAGGAGAAACAACAAUUGAAGUAGUAGAAUGAGUAGUAGGAGUAACAGUCGCGGAGGCGGAGGGAAGUAGGGAGAAGCUAAGAAAUUGAUGGAUCGAACGCAGAGAAGAGGUAGAGAGGGAGUAGCAACAAUCGAAGGAGUAGAAAUUGUUUACAUUAGAAGAGAAAGUAAUCAGGCUUUUUAGGAUUAAAGGGCAAUCAAAUAUAAUUUAGCAAAAUAGAAUAAGGGCAAAAUAGACAUUACAUUUGGUCAAACCAACUUAUUAAGAAUAACUUAUAAGUCAUUUUGAAAUAAGUAAUAAUUUGUUGCUUAUUUUUUUGGACUUAUAAAUCUACUUAUAAGUCAAAAAAUAAGUCUUUGCCUAACAGGUGAACAGUGACAAAUGACUUAUAAGUUGGGCCAACUUAUAAGUUACUGCCGAACAGACUCUAACAAUGUAGACAAAUGCCCUUAAGUAUCAUGCCAAGUUGUCUAGUUAGGUACUGUACCCGUACUAGCUUUACUUUUAAUGUUCUAAAGGUAGAGAUGAUUUAGGCAGACUAAGCAGUUGUAUUCCCAAUUCCUCAAUGCCUGAAGCUAUGAGAAACUUUCUCCAACUUGAACUGCAUUGCAUUGAAUUUCUUAAUGCGUGUCUGUAUGUUUUCUUAACCCAGUAUGAGGGAUCACAAAUAAACAAUUUUCACUUUUCUGGUAUUACAAUCUUAAAGCAGUUUAAUUUCUCUGCUUCCCUCCAUUAAGUACAAAAUUUGGUGGAUGUUUACGCGUGUUAACCAAUGUUUAACAUCCUUGCAAAGCAAUUUUUUGUUUUGAGUUCAAUAUAAUGUGAAACUCCAAUUCUUAUAAGAGCAUUGUGUAAUACAUAUAUAUCCAUGGGGCAGCGAAAACUAAGCAUUAGCGACUUCCGGAUGAUGGAAUAUUCACUCGGUGUUUAGGCACACAGUUUGGUCAAGAGAGAAUUUGCAUUCUUGAGUCACUAACCACUUAGUUCAUCCUUCUUUCUGUCGAUUUUGAUUUUUGCUAAUCCCUUUCCCCCUCUGUGCUGAUACUUUUGCCUCUUAGAAUGAAUACUAUUCAGGUUUAAAAAAAUAAAUAUAUAUAAUCUAUUCAUAUGGCCUUCACAUUAACUAUACCUAUUUUACCGAAAAUAUAUUUAAUAUUUAAUUUUGUUAUAAUGAAGCAAGUAAGAAGUUAUGACUAAAAGUAUUAGACAUGCACGAAAGAUGAUCUAUAGAUAAUGACAUUGUUGAACCUCUGCAAGUAUCCUGGAUAAUUUAUCUCUCUCUCUCACUCUAUAACUCUAUCACUCUAUCACUCUAUCUAGAUUUACUUAUGGGUGAUAACGAUUACAGCACAAGUCACUUUCUUACUUUAAUGGAUAUUUUCUGCCUUAAUAAGUAAAAUGAAAUUAUAUAUUCUAAAAUUUAUCUAUUGAUUCAUUAAUUUAUAAGAUAUAUUAAUUUUUGAAAGUAAUUUCAAGCUCGAUAUAACAUAAGACUUGACAAGUAAGGUUAUACGCAAAGUAAUUUCACCACUGUUUUCUCUUUUUAUAAUGUAACGUAGUAAGGAUUUGAGUAUCUUCUACUUGGUUUGAAGAAAAGAAAAGAAAAGGAGAAAAAAGUAAUAAGAAGAAGAAGAAAGAAAGAAAUUUUUUUGCUUCUAUUGCUUUUGGUAGUUAGAUUAAUUCAUGUUACAUGUUCAGGCUUGAGAUGGUCUUCACUUUUUGGCAGGAAUGGGAACAGAAGUGUACUGUAAAAGCCACGUGCCUGGAUAUUUCUCCAUGAGGGAUAUUAAUGAGGAUUCUAACAGUUGUAGCUGGUCUCCAUUUUAUGGUGAUAACAACUUAUUAAAUGGGCAGUACUAUAAUGGCUUCAUGCCGAGGGCUGUCACAGAUGGAUAUUCAGGGUAUGAGAAGCAUGCGUUAAAGCAGAAAAUGCUUGAGCAUGAAGCCAUAUUCAAGAAUCAGGUAUAUACAAUGUUAAAUAUUUGUAGUCUUCCCUAAUUUUUGCAAUUUGUUUGCUUAUACAUGCAACUGGUGUGUUGCUGUUUUAUGAAGAACUAUAGUUUUGCAUGAGUCAAAUGGAGUAAAUCUUCUCUUUGCUUCAGUGACGCACCUUUAUAUUUUGGGUGCUUGAUUAUAAAAAGUCCUAUUUAUCUCUCAGGUGCAUGAACUCCACCGCGUUUAUAGAGUACAAAGGGACAUGAUGGAAGAAGUCAAAAGGAAGGGACAAUAUAAACAUCAUAUAUCAAUUGAGACAUCAUCUUCAUCAAGCCUCUUACCAUCUCAAAUACCAACUGAUGAAGCUAGGAAUUGGCAUAUCCCUAGCUUUCCGUUAGCCAACUCUAGUUGUGUCAGACCGGUUAUAUUAGGUUCUGAAGUCACUGAUUCUCCUUUGAGUUGUACAAAAAGAAACAACAGUCAAGCUGGUCAAGUUUCUGACCAGAACAAAUGUAAUUCAAAGGAUUGUGGGUUCUCAGACUCUAGACCCUCAAAGGUUAGGAAAAAAUUGUUUGAUCUUCAACUACCAGCUGAUGAAUACAUUGAUACAGAAGAACAGUUCCAGGACAUUAAGAUAUCAGAUGUUUUAAGUUAUCCUCCAAAUGGAAAUCAUAGAGUUGCACUUGAGAACAGUGUAAAGUUAUUUCUUGGUGGUGGGAAGACUGAUUGCCAUAUAGAUACUUCUUCUAAUUCAUGUUUGAAGAGCUGUCAUGGGUUGGCUGAUCUGAAUGAGCCAAUUCAAGUUGAGGAAGACACUCCCCCUAUAUCUGUAGAUUUUCUUGGUCAUUCUGCCUGCCAUGGAGAGAUUAGAGGCCUGAAUUUAUCUUCAAAACCGAUGUCGCAGUUUAUAGAUUUAUCCCAAGAAUUUUCACAGAACUCCCAACAUGGAAGUAGUAAUGGAAAUUUGAAAAAUCUAUCUGUAGCGAAUGAAGGCAACAAGAGAGGUUGGUUAUCCUAUAUGUAUGAAGCUGGUAAAGUUUCUUUUUCUUACUUUCCCUUCCCUCCUUUUUUCUUCCUUGAAACAUUUCUUUUGAGUAAAAAUUAAGUUGAUGUGUCAUUCCUCUGUUAGGAACUAAAUUUUAGAUUUGGGAAAAGCAAUAGUUAACAGGAAAUAGUUUCUUGUACUUAAAUUGUUUCCACAAUAUCUGAAUGUAAUCUUCUCCUCAUCCUUCUUGGUUGCUUAUGGUUAUAUGUGAAUGUUUACACUCUUCAUCCUUCUUGGUUGCUUAUGGUUAUAUGUGAAUGUUUACACUCUUCACAGGGAACAGCGGAAGGAAUACAAAUUGUAUUCCUAAAUUUCUCCAACCAGAGCAGUCCCAUCCAACAUCAUUUAUACGGGAUAAGAGUCAUCAACAUCCCGUUAUUUUUCCAACUGAUUUUAGGAGAGAAGAAUCAUGGACAGAGAGAAGUCGUACUUAUGAAUUUCCUAAUAGAAGUCGUGAUUCCAAUUAUAACCAUCCAGAUUCAGUUGUGGCUUCCCAUAUAUCCAAUCCUUAUGUUAAUUCCUCGGAUGUGGCCAAUUCAUGGUCUCACUCUGUCACAUCUUGGGGACAGCCAAAUGCUAGCUUGACUCAGAAGUUGACAAUAGUUCACACACGCCCAUCUCUUAUAUCCUCUGAAACUUUGAGUAGGAGUUCUCAGCCAUCUGCUCAGACCCAUGAGAUUUUUGAAGACAAAUGGCAUGCUAAUGGUAGCUCUAGGUUGAGUCCAGGUUUCGGAAGCAAUCUUCCUACUGGGAAUGGAUUUUACAUUGGGUCGUCGUCGGGUUCCAAAGAACCAUCAGUCCACUUAUCUUCAAUUGGCUAUGAUAAUCUGAGAUGCAGUAAGCUUGAUAUUUUAGCAUCAGAACGCUUAAAUAAUCAUGGUUCCAGAAACUUAUUCAAGAGCUCUGACGUAAUGGAUCUGAAGUCUGGAAAGGAUGUGGACUUAAAUGUGGUUCUUCCGAAAACUUCAUUUAAUGAGGCAGAUCCCUGGCAACGUCUUGAAAUUUUGGACGGAAAAAGGAAGUGUGAAGACCAUAUAGCAGUGUUGCCUUGGCUUAGAGAGAAGCCAGUGAAUGCAGCCUUCAUAACCAGGAAAGACUCAAACUUGGUGGAAUUGGGUUUCCUUCAAGCCCCGGGUAAUCAGUUUCUCAAAAAUGAAACGGCAAAAGAUCCCAAUCUUUUGUUUACUCAGAAUGUUUCAUCUGCUUCAAAUGGUCGCGAUGUUGUGGCCGAGAGAGAGUCAGAUGACCGCCUGGGAAAUGGAAAAAUACUAGGCUAUCCUGUAUCUGGACAACUUUAUACCUCUAAAACUGACUCUUCAUCGCUUGUCUCUACAUCUGCGUCUACAAAAAAUGAAGGGAAACAUAGAGGAAUUGAUAUCAAUGUAGCUUGCGAUUUAAUGGAUGCCGAGUCUGGCAAAGAGAUUCCUGCAGAAUCUUUGGUGGUGGAGAAGGGAAUGGAUACAAAAUUUAAAAACUUCAGAUACAUUGAUUUGAAUUCUUGUAUAAGCGAGGGUGAAGAUCUUUUAGGAUCAUCUCUUAGAAGCACCAGUGCCAGGGUGAAGAUUGCAUUUGAGAUAGAUCUGGAGGCGCCUGUUGUUUUGGAAUCUGAGGAGGCUAUUUUGCACGGGGAAGAACAUAAUCAACGUGAGACACCCUUGCAAUCACCACAGUAUAAAGCUGAGCAACCAGGGGAUGAAGUUAUUAGAAUUGCAGCGGAAGCUAUAGUUGCCAUCUCCUCAUGUGGUCAGGACCAUCAUUUGGAGUGCAACUAUUUCGACCCGUCUGGAGCUUCUUUGCCAGACUCCCUCCUAUGGUUUGCAGAAGUAUUUUCUUCUUCAGCAGAAGAUCUUGAGAGCAUGCUUUGCAAAGGAUUAAGAGGCAGAGAUCAUGCAGAAAUUGAGACCUCUGAGGAGUUGGAUUAUUUUGAGGCCAUGACAUUGCAACUGAAGGAGACCAGGGAAGAAGAUUACAUGCCCAAGCCUUUUGUACCUGAAGUCCAAGAAGUGAAAGAAAUAGGAACCACUUCAUUAACUAGUCGAACUCGAAAGGGCCAGGCAAGGAGAGGGAGGCAACGAAGGGACUUCCAAAGGGAUAUCCUUCCGGGCCUGGUUUCUUUGUCAAGGCAUGAGGUCACUGAAGAUCUUCAGACAUUUGGAGGUCUGAUGAGAGCUACUGGUCAUCAAUGGAAUGGAGGAUUGACGAGAAGGACCGGCACUAGAAGCGGUGCGGCAAGGGGAAGGAGGCGGUGUGUGGUUGAUCCCAUCCCUUCUGCAGCGGUCACUCCAGUCUGCACUCCAUUGAUGCAGAAGCUUAACAGUGUUGAAGUGGGACUGGAGGAUAGAAGCCUAACAGGGUGGGGGAAGACAACUAGACGCCCUCGACGGCAAAGGUACGCUGCAGGUAAUAAUCUUGCUGUUGCAUUAAAAUAAUUGUGAGUUGAAGGCCUUUGAUUUAUGAACCAGAAUCUUAUAGAGGGGAAAACUUCAAGUAACUAGGCACAGCUGAUUCUAUGGCUUUCAGGAGUGAUGUUGUUUUCGGAUAUUAAUGGGGGUUGUCUUUGUACAUUUCUUUGUGCCCAUAAUAUGGGUAUCCCCAUACUAUUAUUUGUCUUUGGAUUAAAAACUUUGUAUUAUUUAGAAAUAAUGGUUAUUUAUUGGCAAAAUUAAUGAAUUAAUCAGUGUAGUUGAUACGUUUUACUGAAUACAGCAUUGAACUUUUAAUUUUUCAAAUUAUCUCAAUAAAUUAAUUAUUAUUUUGAAGUUGGGCCAUUCCGUUAAAAAAAUUAAACGGAUAUUAAUUUUUUAUCGACAAAAUUAAUGAAUUACCCAUUGUGGUUGACACGUAACGUUUUACUGAUUAUACCAUUAAACUUUUAAUUUUUUAAAUUAUUCAGUAAACUAAUUAUUAUUUUGAAAUUGAAUCAUUCUGUUAUCUUUGUCUCACGACUGUUAAAUCUUUUUCAGCUUUUAUCGUACGUGAAUGUGAAAAAGAAAAUAAAUAAAUAUGAUUUAUUCUCUCUAUUCCUUCCUCCCAUAUCUCUCUUUCUCCCCUUCUUCCAGAUCAAAUAGAUCUGCGUAUUUUCUCUAUCUAAAGUCUGAAAAUUUUGAGAUUCGAGUAACCAAAAUAUUGAAUUGAGUUUUAAAGUUCAACAUUAGAUAUAACAAUGGAGUCCGAAUUUCCAACAACAACACAUGAAAUAAAUGGUGUUGCAAUAGGUUUUCUCCCUCUCACCUCUGACUCUCAGCAGCCUUAUUUUUCCGAACUCCAUUACUUCACUCUUGAUCGCCUCCACAAGGUCCACUCCUUCCCAAAUCUCUCUCUCUAUAUCUUUGUGUGUAUAUAUACACACACAUCAUGUAGUAAUAUUUGGUUACACACACAUCAGGUAGUAAUAUUUGGUUAAAUUAAUUUUGUUGGGAUUGUAUUUAUAAUUUGAUAGAAGCUUGAGUUUUUACAAAUGGAUGCGGAAGGAAUUCAGAGACAAAUGCAAGAGGUGGUUGUUGCUAAUUACCGCGUUUUCAUUUCUGUUGCUGAUGCAUUACUUUUCAUUCGCGAGAAAGUUUCUUUUAUUGAUAAACAUCUGAGAUUAAAGUACCAAAAAUAUUUUUAUUUUUUUGUUUUUACUUUCAUGUUUUUUUUUUUGCCACACAAGUAAUAUUUUUUAUUUUUGAAUUUGUUUUUCAGAGCCAUGUCUGCUUACUUUUUUUUAACGGAAUGACCUAAUUUUAAAAUAAUAAUUAGUUUACUGAGAUAAUUUGAAAAAUUAAAAGUUCAAUGGUGUAAUCAGUAAAACGUGUCAACUAUAGUGAAUAAUUCAUUAGUUUUAUCGAUAAAAAAUUAACAUCUGUUUAAUUUUUUUAACGGAAUAGUCCAAUUUCAAAAUGAUAAUUAAUUUACUGAAAUAAUUUAAAAAAUUAAAAAUUUAAUGGUAUAAUCAGUAAAAUGUGUCGACUACAAUUUUACCGUUUAUUUAUUUAUUUAUAUAGUUUCUCCGGGAUAUACACACUGUCCUUCAUUUGUGUGACUUGAUAUUUUAUUUUGAUUAGACACCAAAAUUUUCUUGCAUGUGAGACUAGUUGUGGAGAUAGACUUAUUGCCAUGUUUAAUUUUUUAGAAGAAUCUUCAUUCUGAAAAUGUUUCAACAGGCUACUUUUUUUUCUUAUAUUUUUUAAUUUGCAACAACAUUAGAUAGAGCCUUUAGAUUCAUCAAGUGUUGUAAUUUGACGGAUCCGGUUAUUAUAAAAUUAACUUUAUAAUAAAUUAGAUCAAUUGAUCAAUACAGUACUGACAUGCAAAGAAAAAGAUAAUCUCCGAUAUUGUAUUAGUCAAUUGACCAAAAUUAACUUCAUAAUAACAACUUCCUAAUUUGACUUGCUAUUAUCAUAUCAUGGUCCAGUUGUGGUUUGUUUUAUUACUACUCAUGUAACUGUUACUGUCACUCUGAAAACAUUCAAUUAAUGAGAAUUUCCUUAAAAUUAUGUCUGCCCAUUUAGUAGCAAAUUUGCCAAAAUUUUACUCCCUCAAUUCUUAAAUUUAAGUGACGUUUUAGAAAAAAAAAUAUAUUUUAAUUUAUUUGUCGUUUAUAAUUUUUUAGAAUAAUAAAUUAUUUAUUUUUCUAUAUUACCAUUACCUUCUCUCAUUGUCUCAUUGUCUCAUUGUCCCAAGAAAUUCCCACCCUUAGUAUUAAUAGUUUUUAACUUCCAGUAAAAGGGUAGUGUUGGAAUUUUAUACAUAUUUUAACUAUUAAAUGAAAGUAUUAAAUGACUUUCUUAAUUCAUAUGCAAAAACUUUAAACGACACUUAUUUAGGAACGAAGAGAGUAAAAGGUAUAAUUAAUACAUAUUUAUCUGAUUUCAGAACAAACAAUUAGGUAAUUAAUGUAUCAUAAUUAAAAAUUACUACUCUUAGAUACAAUUUGACUUUUGAUAUCAAAUGAUGGAAUAUUAUACUGACCUAUAAAAAUUUAGAAUGAAAUAAAUUUUGUGAUUAAUAGUUUUUGUUAUAUACUCCCUCCGUCUUUAAUUAUUUGACGUUUUAGAGGUAGACACAAAAAUUAAAAUAAUGAUUGAAAAGCAUUAAAUAUAGUACUCAAUUGUCUAUAAUACCCUUAAAUUUUUUGUUGGGAUAAGAAGAGUUUUGUUGGGAUAAAGACAGAGAAAGAGUUUAAAGUAUCAAAAAAUAAGUAGAGUAAUGAGGGGUAAUUUUGGAAAAAUUGUCAUUAAUUCUCUUAGAUUUGAACAAACGUCAAAUAAUUAAGGAUAAAUGAAAAACUCUAAAACGUCAAAUAAUUAGGUACGGAGAGAGUACUAUACAAUUAAAAUAAUUAUAUCAACUAAAAUUAAAUAAAUUCACAUAUAUUUAAAGUUUAGUAUGACAUAGUUUGAUUCAAAAAAUUAAAUUGUAUCUUUAAUUUAAAAACGGAAGGUAGUACUAAUUUUUAUAUUUAUUAUUUAAAAGAAAUUAUAUUAAUUUCAAAUAUAAAUUUUAUAAAAUUAAUUAAAAAAGUAUAUCUUAAAUUUAAAUGUGAGAAAAGGAAGAGGUAGAGUAGCAUGAGCAUGAUGGUAAACCCAAGCCCGCUUAAGACGGAGGACUACCCCGGACAGAAGAUCGGGACGGAAAUUGCCGCCACAAUAAUACUUAACGGCCAAAGAUGGCGGGAGUGAAUAUGUUGGUAUAAUCAGCCAGCCGAACGAAAUAAUGAGUAAAACAUGUUGAAACCCAUAACGUUAUUGCACAAGAAUCUCCCCCGCUUCAUCAUUUCCAAAGCCCAGCUCUGGUUUAGAACCCUAACUUUGUUACCAACCCAUCAAAAAUCUGAACAUCUUCCUGAAAUUGAACAAACCCUAGCAUCAAUUCAUUUUAUCUCUGUAAACCCAUUUUUUGCUCUUCUUGAUCUCUGCAAAAACAAGUUCUUUCUCCAAAAAGUCCACUCUUUGCUCAUUGUCCAUGGGCUAACGGGUGACCGUCUUUACCAAACCAAAUUGGUUAGUUUAUAUGGUUUUCUUGGGCAUGUCGCAAAUGCGCGUUUAGUGUUUGAUCAAAUACCCAAACCGGAUCUUUCUACAUACAAAGUAAUGAUCAGAUGGUAUUUUAUUAAUGAUUUGUACAUGGAUAUAGUUGGGUUCUACACUUGUAUGAGAAAAUGCCUAAAAGAGAAUGAUAAUGUUGUUUUCUCGAUUGUGUUGAAGGCUUGUAGUAAAUUGCAUGAUAUUGAAGAAGGGAGGAAGGUGCAUUGCCAUAUUGUUAAGGCUGGAAAUCCUGAUAGUUUUGUGUUAACGGGUCUUGUAGAUGUGUAUGCAAAGUGUGGAGAGGUUGAAUCUUCUCGUGACGUGUUUGAUGAAAUUGUUGACAGGAAUGUAGUUUGUUGGACUUCGAUGAUUGUUGGGUAUGUGCAGAAUGAUUGUGCUGAGGAGGGAUUGAUUUUGUUUAAUCGGAUGAGAAAUGGGUUGGUUGAAGGCAACCGAUAUACUAUUGGGAGUGUAUUCACGGCAUGUACAAAGUUGGGAGCUUUACAUCAGGGGAAGUGGGUUCAUGGGUUUGUUAUUAAGAAUGGAAUUGAGCAUAAUUCCUACUUGGUCACUGCUCUUGUUGACAUGUACAGCAAAUGUGGGUUCAUUGAUGAUGCUCGUUACAUUUUUGACGAGUGUUGUAUUAUCGACCUCGUCUCAUGGACAGCAAUGAUUGUUGGCUAUACUCAGCAUGGCUACCCCAAUCAGGCAUUAAAUUUGUUUACGGACAAGAAAUGGGUAGACAUCUUGCCUAAUUCUGUAACUGUUGCUACUGUAAUUUCAGCAUGCGGACAAGCAGGCAGUUCAAAAUUUGGUAGGUUGGUGCAUGGAAUUGGGAUUAAGCUUGGGUUAGAAGAUGCUAAUGUGACAAAUGCUCUUGUGGACAUGUAUGCGAAGUAUGGCAUGAUAGGAGACGCUCAUUAUUUAUUUGAGAUGGUUUCAAACAAGGAUGUGAUUACCUGGAACUCUAUUAUUUCUGGGCUCACACAAAAUGGUUUUGCUUAUGAGGCUCUCAGAUUGUUUCACCAGAUGAGGUCAGAAUAUAUGCGGGCAGAUGCAGUCACACUGGUGACCGUCCUCUCAGCUUGUGCUUCCGUGGGUGCUCUGCUAGUUGGUUAUUCUCUUCAUGCUCACUCUAUAAAAGAAGGAUUACUAUCAUGUCACAAUGUCUAUAUUGGCACAACAAUUAUAAGCUUUUAUGCCAAAUGUGGGGAUGCAGAAUCUGCUCGUUUAGUUUUUAAUGAGAUGGAAGAGAAAAAUAGAAUCACUUGGAGCGCAAUGAUUGGUGGUUAUGGGAUGCAAGGGGAUGGUAGUAAUUCCCUUGCACUUUUCGAUGAUAUGUUGAAGGAAAAAUUGGAGCCUAGUGAUGUGACUUUCACUACUUUAUUAUCUGCCUGUAGUCAUGCAGGGAUGGUUGGGGAAGGGCAGAGGUAUUUUGAUUCAAUGUGCCAGAAAUAUAACUUCAUUCCCUCCACGGAACAUUACGCAUGUAUGGUUGAUUUAUUGUCUCGGGCAGGAAGGCUCGAGGAAGCCCAGGAUUUCAUUGAGAAAAUGCCAAUUCAACCUGAUGUCAGUAUUUAUGGAGCUUAUCUCCACGGAUGCAGUCUUCAUUCAAGGUAUGACCUCGGAGAGUUGGGCGUGAGAAGGUUGCUGGAGUUGCAUCCUGAUGACGAUUGUUACUACGUGCUCAUGUCAAAAUUAUAUGCUUCGGAUGGAAGAUGGAGGCAGGCCUAUGAGGUGAGAGAGUUAAUGAAGGCGAGAGAUUUAAGCAAGUCCCCUGGGUGGAGCUUAGUAGAGAUGAAGGAUAUUGAUAGUGAACUUCCCCCUCUAAUAGUUGCAUCUGCUUAAUUAUAUGCUUCAUCGCUGUAUACUCCAGUCUGCAUUGACUGGUUAACGACUUGUGAUGGGUUUGCACCACAGAAAUUCACACAAUAAACACUUAAAAGAAGAAGAUAUUGAAGUAAUAGUAAUUUCGGAUAGCAGCUUGGACUUCAAACUUUCUUAAUACAACUGAACAUGGCCUAAAUCAUCAAAAAAUCGUAACAAUGAUGAAGAUUUCGUUAUCUGUUAUUUGUAUGUCCUUGUACAGCAAUGAACUCAGCUGACCGAGUAAGAUGGUUCUUGUUGAUGAGCAGAGCAGGAUUGCUGGUGUAUAGCAGGCAGGCAUUAGUGGAAAAGCACGCACGCACGCACACUUUGAAAGGGGUUGAUUUUAUGAGAGAGUGAACCUUUCAAUCUGAAUUGGAAUGCACUUGUAAUAUGGAAAUUGACAUUUUCACCGUUUCUUUUAUAAAUAGUAAGCGAGUCUCGUAUUAAUUACUAUGAAAAUUCAAUUUUCUAUAUUCUAUUGUGAAUCCAAACAUUCAUUUUACUUCUUCCUCUCCCUAAAAAGAAUUUUAUUUACAAAAUUUUAAUUCAAUAUUUUAUCCCUAAAAUAAUAAAUUAGCUAACUUACUAAUAGUGACAUAAAAAUGAAAUUAUGAUAAUAAACUAAAAGACAUUAUAUAGUUUUAUAUUAUAAUUAAUAAAAUGAGGAUUAUUUUUAUAAAACAAAAUAAAAAGAAUUAUAUACAUCAGAAAAAGCAUUUACUUAUAUAAAAUAUAAAAUGAAAAUAUUUCCUUGAAGUUGGAAUUAUUGUCAAAAAGGAGGCAAUACUAGGCAAGAAAGUUGCCAAAAUAAAACUAAUAAUAAUAGGUUAAGUAGUUUCUUGGUUCAACCACACCACACAUAUAACUUGGGUAGUUAGGUUUAAUAGCGAAGUGGUUAGUAUGAAGUUUAUUUUGGGGUAAGUUGAUCAAUUGACCAAUAGAAUACUGACACGCAGUCGAGGUUGUAUGUGUGUCAGUAUUCUAUUGGCCAAUUGACCAAUUUACCAAAAAAAUACCUCCAUGCUAACCGGAUCCGUUUAAUAGUAUCAACAGAUUCACGUAAAGUCUUAUUUUAUUACUGAUAAUCCAUCCCUUGAAAGGAAAUAUAAUUUACAAAAGGGAAAAAGAAUUACUUGACUUUAUUCCCAUCUGGUUACAACUUUACUACAUUUAGAGAAAUGGCAUGCAAUUACAACAAAUUACAAACUCGUCCCACCUACCGUCUAUAAUAGAGAGUAACAAAUCAAGAAAUUAAACUCCUGACACAAUAAAUUGCUUGCUUUGGAACAGGAUGACUAUGGUCGUUGAUAUACAUAUUUUGUUCUGGGAUCCACAAUUAGACCCUUCCCACCAUUAACUUCUAAAUCAUGCCUGCAUUCAAAAAUUUAUCAAGAACUUGGGGAAAAUCAAAAAAUAAAAAAAUCGUAUCCCUAAAUUUAAAAAUCAACAUAGCCCGGAUUUGGUUUAUGCAAAAAUGAAUUUAAACUGGAAAUAAGUGUGGGGAAGGCAGUAAACAUAGCUAAUGAAAAACUCGGCCUUCAUAGUCUUUUUCAUUAGGUGGGAUCUUUUCUCAAAAUGUCAGGGAGGGCUCCCAUUAGAUCUUGAUUAAUUAUGAACAAAAAACUAAUUUUCCAGUAUAGAAGCACAGAUAACUCAACUGGAACACAAAGUCGGGGAUGGUUAGCUGCUCCCGUGGAACAUAUUUGAAUAGCUGCAGAAGCCUAUCGACAUACACAACUUUUUUCCACACCUAAAGAUCGAGUUCCAGGAAAAUUGAAUAAGCUUUCAGAGGGAAGUAAGUUUUCAGGUUUUAGUAAGUAGUUCAAGGAAGGACAGGCAUACCACACCAUCCACAAACAUUUGCAAUGCGAAAAUUGCAGCUUUCAGUCCAAAGGUUGGGUGAAGCACAUAUAUUGCCUAUAAAGCAAAUGAUGAAUUCAGGAUCGACAAAAGGAGACAUAUAUACUUAAUUAGAGAUAUUAGGCCUUGCAUACGUGAAGGUUACGCUGGUGUUUCCGACCAAGUAUCUGCUGUAAUCUCCUCAUCCACCCCAGAUCUGGUUGUCUAUUAAAUCCAGAAGAAACAGAACUUGAGAAGUAACAAAAAAAGAGAAUCUUCAUAGUGCAAUAUCAGAUACCAAAAAGAUGAUAAUCACAAUAACAUAUAGAUGAUCUAGCAAUGUUGGAAUUUGUAAUUACAAUAAUAAUAACAACAAUUAUAAUAAUUAUAAUUACAACAACAACCAUUAUAAUAAUAAUAAUAAUAAUAAUAAUAAUAACAACAACAACAAUAACAAAAAUAAUUAUUAUAAUAAUAACAAUAAUAAUACUAAUGAGCAAUAGGUAUAGCAGCAGCAGAGGUUUUAAGUUGCAAGAAGGAUGUGUGAGCUGAGCAGACUAUAUACUGAGAAUGCUUAAAUCAUAUAAAGGUUCAAAAACCUAGUACUUCUAAGGAAUUUGUAAAUGAGUAUAGAACUUUGGCUAGACAAAAUUAGUUAAAAACUUCACCCGGAGUUUGAACCUUUCUGCAAGAUCAUUGCAUAUGCGACAUAGUAGUGGUGGUAAAAUGAUUAGACAGUAUAAACACAUAAAAAAGAUACUGCUUAAUCAUGCCAGGUGAUCCAGGAGAAGCAGCAUAGUGCGUGCAAGUAAACAAUAUUACAAGGAAGAGUACUCACAUUUGUAGGGAUGCUGCAGAAUGAAAGUAAACUAUAGAAAAAGGCUUCUGUAUCAAGGGCUCGAACUCCUGAAAUUCAAUAUUUCGAGAGAAUUUAUCCUAGUUCUAAAAGCCAAUGUGAAGUAUAAGAACAAUGCCUGGGAAAGGGAAGCAUGCUGCAAGCAUGAUCUGAUGGCGAGAAGCUACUAAAUAUCCAUAAGCAACAAAUCUCAUUGGAAUAAUAUGAUCAGCAGUAAAUCUUCUGAAAUUAAUGGACGUCAUAGUGAAGCAAGCUUUAGACUACCUUCACUACAUAGAGCACAAACCGUUCCAGAUCAAGACAUCGUAGCAGAAAAUGCGCUCCCACAACAACCAUUACUGGCCGACCCUCACUGUCCACCCCACCUCGGUAACUGAGAAAGAGAGAAAGAGCCAUAAAUAUCUGGAUGUAAAUAUCCAAUGAUCCCAGUGUAAACACAUUUAUGAACUAACAAAGGGUUGUCUAGGAAAGACGUAAAUUACUCAGAAGCUUCCGUAUAACAAAGUGAAGAGUAAAUUAAACAGAUAAGAGUAUGAGCUUAGUCAUGAGUCCUACAAAACUCAAUAAUAUUGGUGUAUUUAGAGAGGACAUAUACAAGGAUAUAAUAACACCGCGUAAUCAAAAACUUAGAGCUGCUCACACAAUUUUCAUUUCUGCAAUUUCAGAAAGAUUAAGAGAAUUUGCUUUCGAAAGAUAUCUUGAAUGGAGAGAAUAUUCUUCAGCGGCCGAUAGGGGAGGUCCUCCGAGGUCACCAUAUCCAAUCAUUUUAGUAAAAUUCCAACCACUUUGCGCUUGAGCAGUUUUUUCCCAUUGUUCCUUGCGUCUCUGAUCUGGAUCCUUAAUUAGGGACAUGAAACCAGGAUCCAGAUAAGAAUCCAAAUAUGAUGAGUUCCUGUUAAGAAAGAAAAGAAUCUUCUAUUACGGUUGGUGAAUAUAGAAAGGAAUCAUGAAUUUAAUAAGGACACAUAAAAGAAGAGAGCAACCUUUGAACACCAAAACCAUACAAAUUGACACAUAAUACAUACAAAACUUAAAUAGACAUACAUUCAGAACAAAUGAAUUCUUAUCAAAGAAUUAUUCUUGCUUUAGCUCUUAUAGAAAAUGUUCAAUCUUAACAGGCAAUAAAAGCUAUAACUUCGCUCUAAACUAUUACUCCACAAACUAUGCGCACAGGGGUAAAGAAAAGGCCUGGUAUCUCUGGUCUGAUGAACAAGAAGGAGGCAUUAUUCCAUUUACCACGUUUGGAAAUAAUUGGUGGUAAUUUAGCAUCACAGUUUGAAUGUCAUAUUCUGUAGCUAAGAUCUCAACAUAAAAGUUACAAAAUGUGGUUCUUCUAUUCAUGGAAAGACAAUGAAGGCAUUGAUAUGCACUUCAGGAUUUCUUCUGUAAGCACUAUGUUACCCUGGUCCCCCUUUCUUUUCUAUUUUUGGGGAGAAGUCCCUGGUCCCUUGCUUCUCUUGAAAGAAAAGACUGAGAGCAAAGCCCACAAAAUAUCUGAUCCAUCAAAAUCAUCCGCAUAGCUGAACUAGAAUCAGCAAUGCUUAAAUUCUAGCUACAUUAGUUAUAAAGCACUUUAAGUUAUAGAAUGAGUUUACAAGGUGACUAACCGUCUCACCAAUCCGACCUCACUGACAGGAAGAUCCAUUAGAGUUUGGGGAGAUUUGGGAACAUUCUUCUUCACUUUGGGUAAAGGCUUUAUUCUGAUUUUCCGUUCAUCUAAGGUUGUCUCCCCAUUUUCAUCCCCAACAUCUGCAGGAAGCUUGGAAAUGGCCGCCUCCUCUUCAUGUUUAUCACGAGGGAAGUAAAGUGGAAGCAAUCUACAUUCUCAAAAGGUUAAAGUAUAUUAAGUUCAUAAAAAUUUAAUCGCACAGUAAUCAUUCGUAAAUAUUCCAUGAAAUGUUCAAAGCUGUUGUUUGGAUUAUAGGAAAUAGUGAUUUCAUCACCUUUAUUAGGAAAACAAACAGGUUUUAUGACAUACCUCUUAUAAAUCUCAGUAUCAGAUGAAGUUAUAGUGCAAAAAACAACAGCUGUUACUUUAUCUUUCUGUUUCUCUAGAAACCGUCGCACAGUUCCUGAUAAAAAUAAAUUGAAUAUGAAAUAAGAGAUGAUACAUUUGACAUCCACAAGUAUUUUUGCUAAUUGAAAAAACAAAACACUUGAGCAUGGAUAUAUAAGUCUGAAUUAUCUUAUUCAACCAGCAUCAUUUCAACAAGAAUCCAUGCAUAUGUAUGUGUUAAGGUCAGCUAAUUAGUGGUAGACGCAUGAAUUUUGGUGGUGAGGGCGUAAUACUAAGUUACUCAAAAACACACACACACACGUGUGUGUGUGUCUAUAUAUAAUCACAUGCUUAAAACACUAAUUUUGUGUAUAUAGUCAUUAGCCUUAUAGGACAAGGAAGUACUAAUAGAAUCAAAAAGCAAAAUUGAAAAAUUAAACCAUCUAAUCUAGGGCUCAAACAUGAAAUUCCACAAAUUUUAACAUUGAAUAAUAAUUAUAAAAAAAAAACAGUUCAACGUAUAUGAAUGUGUUAUUGUGUGUGUUCAGAGUGUGUACAAAAUCUUAAGACAUGAAUACUUAAAUAUCUACAUACAUAUAUAUAUAUAUAUAUAUAUAUAUAUAUAAUGAAUAUUGUAUAUAUAAAUAAAAGAAAAGAUACAGAAUAAUGUUGAUAAUUUAGCACCCAAAAAAAAGAGAAGAAAGAGAGAAUAAUGUUUAUAACUUAAUAUACCUUAUCAUGAAUGAAGAAUCUCGAAUUGAUGAUUGAAACAAAAUAUAAUCAGCCAAGAAUAACAAAAGGCCUAGAAAGAUCGACUUCUUAAACUUUUUGUUCUGCACCUUCAAAACAUUUUGAUCUUUUUUCAGUGCUUAAAUUGGUACUUUUUCUCUAAAACUAUUAGUCUAUUACGCUAUGGCCUUAUAUUUUUAAAGCCAAUUCAGUUACAUCCCUGUCAUUUUACUUCUUCCAUUUUCAAAAUUUCAGUGCGGGCAGCUGCCCUCAUUUGACCCAGUGUGUAUCCACCCCUAAAAGCAGCCCAUUGACACAAUAAUAGCACAUAAGGAACUAAUUAUAAAUUAAAAAAAAUUGCAUAAGGAAUUCUCACUUAUUGCCACAUGAGCGGCUGGUUCACGUGGAUAGUUUUUGGCUUCUGUGUAUAUACAGCCCAUCGCAAUACUGCAAUAAUACAUGCUAAAGAUGGUAAGUUCCAGGUUUUUAAAUACAAGAAAUUUAAUUCCAAUUGAUCAAGAAAGUAGUAAAAUGUUGAAGAAUGCAGCCUAGUCCACUUUACCUUUGAAGCCCAUUUUCAAUGAGAAGUUCAAGGCAAGACCUAUAACAGUGACUAAGAGCAUUCUCUGCAGCAGUAUGAUAUUUCACGGCAUACUUAGGACCAACAGUAUGAAUAACCCUCCUGAAAAAGGGAAAAGAUACUCCAUUCAGUGUUAUGCCAAGAACUGCGAUAGAUAGCAAAGUUGGAGUACACUACAUGUAGCUGUACUGCUAUAGAUACUAAGGAAAGUGCAACAAAUCAUCGCAUAAAGAAUAACAGGCGAAUGACAAGCUAAAAGAUGCUUAACAAACUGCAUUGGUAAAUUCAUAACAUAAAUAAAUGUCUGCCCGUCCAACUUCAAUAGCUCAAGUUGCCCCAAGUUUGGUGUUACAACAUAGAUUGAUAUGUACCUCAUUAAUAGGAUUUGAGACGGCCAUAGUUAAUUUUUACUCCCUCCCUGCCACAUUGUUUGCAACACUCACGAAAUAUAUGAUGCGCCAAAAGCAUAUUUAAAUGUUAAAUUUAAUAUAGUCAAAUGUUAUAUAUUUAACUAUAUUACAAGUAUUUCAAAAAUAAUAUUCAAAUAUGGAAUAGAAGGCAAUCACCAUCACUGCACAUAAUGGUACGCGAGGCUUGCUUAUUGGAAACUUAUGAGUGACAAAAUAUUGAAAACAAGCUUCUAUUUCCAGAAAAUACUUCUAGGAACAAUACCGGAUGCAUGGAUCCUACAUCCUUCUCUUGAUUUCUGGAGAUGAAACUACGCAAGGACAUGCAGGACAAUUUAGGAUGAUCGAAUCGAGAAGUCCAACUUCAAACGUCGAUUGUUCAUGAUGUAUAGAAAAAUAACAGUUCCUAGGCGCAUGGGUGUGGUGUAAAGUGCAAACAUGGUGCAGGAAUAAUUUAUGAUACACAUUUAUGGAAUCCUCUAUUCUCAACGUAAACACAAUACGAUAUAUAUAACAAUGUCAAAGUAAAUGAUUUAGCAAUACCGCCAAUAUACCCACCUAGCGGGAAGGUCAUAUGCAUUAGUAACUUUUGCCAUACCCGUGCGACAGCCACCCUGUAGAAAAAAAUAAAUUUAUGAUAUCAUAUCACUUGAAUUAUGAAUUUUAAUUAUUUUCAUAGGAGUGCCUUGUUUAAUACCUAAAACAAGAUUGGGUAAAAAUAAAUUUGCUCCAUUUUUAAAUGUCAGAAUCAGUUAGCACUAGUGAUACUAGCUAAUUUUGAAACUAAAUACAUAUUCAAUUUGCAGAUAGCGUACCAGUGUUGCACAUUCUUCAGCAAGACCAGGUCCAGCUGCGGCAUGCAAGCCAGGGCUGCUGUGUACUUCAUCCAAAUUCUGUCAACCAGCGAACUAAAAAUAUAAGGCUCUAAUGAAACAGAACUUGAGUGGUCAUUUUGUCAGUGACACAAACUGGAUAUUUGCAAUGUUGCAGCAAAUUAAAGGGAUGCCUAAAAGUAUGCUCAAUGAUGCAGUUUAUGGGCAUUAAGAUGCACUUAACAGAAUCAAACAUGAUUUAGACUAAAUUCUAAAUAUAUAGAAUUUCUGAUCACAAUGAGAAUGUCAUUAUUGCAUGAGAUAGGCAACAUAUUCUCAGUGGAGAUUUAUAGGUAUAAAUCAUUGCCAAAAGGUAGUAAUUGGGGCUCGCUUAUCGCGUUUAGUUAAAAGGCAACCAACUUCCUUAAAUUAACUUGAAUCACAUGUAGUAAAUGAAAUAAAACAUCAAACUUCUCUCCUAUAAAUAUAUAUAUAUAUAUAUAUAUAUAUAUUUAUAUAUAUAUAUAUAUAUAUUUAUAUUUAUAUUUAUAUUUAUAUUUAUAUUUAUAUAAAUAUAAUGAAAAAACUUACUACUCCAAUUCAAUGCCCAGAUUUGAUACAUUGAAAUGGGUUUCUCUAAUGAAGGGGGAUUAGAGAGACUAAUUUAAUUUUGGGUGAACAAUCAAGGCAGACAAUUAUUUUCCAAUAUAUUCUCUAUAUAGAAGAAGUUUAAAUUAACUUCAAACACUUCUAGGGUGAUGAGAGUAUGAUAACAGGUUUUGCAGUGAGACGAAAUAUUAGAACAUUUGAUUAUGCCAUGACAAAAAGAAUCAACCUAAAUUCACACCACGUUUGUGAGCAUGCUUUACAACUCAUUUCCCUUUCACCAUAGAGCUAGCAAAUUAAACACAUGGUAAAAACAUGCAGAAGCACUAAUUGCAAAGGCAUCUGUCCCACACAGAACGAUCAUCAUAUUUGCCUUCAAACCGGAAAAUAGCUUAAAAACACCAAUGAGAAAUAGUUUGCUACUCACCUCAUUUGUAGAGUUAACAACAACGUCUACCUCAAGAUUCCAAGGAUUCCCUCUCCAUAGAUAUAUCUUCGAGUUAAUUUCAUGAUCAACAGGAAACCUUGAAGUCCCAUUUCCACCACUCUCCACUCCAGACGAAGCAGUUAAAGGGUCUGGGAAAUAUGAAUUUGGAUAACCAGAAUCCUCAAUUUCAUAUGAUAACCUAAACUCUGCAUCACUCCAGCAAGGAACUUGAUCUAGUGUCACCACAAAAUCUCCACUAUCUGUAGCUAAUCCACCACGAAUAGUAGUAGUUGGCAGAGGCCUAUACAUGGUCGUUGUUUUCCUCUAACAAAUAUUCACCUCCUUUUUAUGUCCAAAAAGACUGCCAACUCCUAUCCCUCAACUUACCCGAAAUUUCUGGAACAUACUGAAUUCAACAGCCCACAACAAACUAGCAAAGCAAAACUCAGCAGUUACUAUCCUGGAAGAGACAAAUUAGGCAAAAAUAUAAACCUACAUUAAAAUCAAAUAAAAGACGGAUAUAAUAUAUCAUGUAUGUUGCUCAAGCAAGACAUGAUUUUCCAUCAAAACAGAUUCUUCUAAUCAGAGAGUACGUCAAAUUACAGCUUACAAAUUACAAAAUUCAAGCUUAAUUUCAUAAAAUAGGACAUCAACAUCUCAAAUGAAAGAUUCACAACAAUAAAACCGAGAUAUAUUUGAAUUUUAAUACUUUUGAAGUCGUGCGAAGUGAAUUGAUCUAUUGCAUAUAUAUAUAUAUAUAUAUAUAUAUAUAUAUAUAUAUAUAUAUGCACAUACAUGAAGCUGAAUAAAUGUAUGUGUAUACAAUUAUAUGUAUAUAUACACACACUCGCACAUGGGGCAUCAUAGAUUUGCUAACCUUAGAUGGAGAAGACUUUCAUUAGAUUGAAGAGGAUAAAGAGAGGAAGAUAUAAAAUGUAUAAGCAUAUACCUGUGAAGCGGUGUGAGAUUUGGGGGCGCAAUUUAUAUGAUUGCAGAGAGAGAUUAAAGGAAGAAGACCACAGUUUUUUUGGGAUCUGAUGAACUUGCUAAAAUUAGGACUGUUCGGCAAUUACUUAUUUUAAAGUAACGCAUAAGCUAAAUUUUAAAUUAAAUGGUAAGUCAUUUUAAAUUGUUAGUUAUAAAUAAAGUGUUUGUUAUUAUUUUGACUUAUAAGUUAUAAUAAACAGUGAAGGUGAUUAGUUGAAUGACUUAUAAGUUAAAAUAAGAUAUAAAGAUUAGUAAAAUAAAGAUAAAGUAGUCUUUAUAUUUGAUCAAAUUUAUUUAAUUUGAAAUGACUUAUAAGUUAAUUUUUGAGAAGUAAUAAAUUAUUACUUCUCAAAAAAUAAUUAUAAAUCAAUUUAUAAGUUAAAAAAUAAGUCAUACAAAUAUUCAAAUAAUUUUAAAAAAUACUUAUAAAUUAAUUUGAUUGACUUAAAAAUUACUCCUAAACAUAAUAAUAAUUUAUAAAUUGAUUUGAGCAAAUAAAAAUCACUCUUGAACAUGACAGUAGGAUCUGGUUAUCAUAUAAUAUUUCGAAUUUGAAACAAUAAUAUUUUCUUGAAUCAUUUUAUAUUCACUUACAAGUUCAUAAUUGAAGUUACUAUUGUUAGUAUUUAAUUUCUUAUAUAAACAAACCGAGUUAAAUCCAAAUAAGACCUUAAAUUACUAAAACAAUAAUAUCUUCAUUUUACUCAAAAAGUUUGAAGGCAUUAUUGUUAAUAAAUUUCUUAUAUGAACUUUUAAUUUUUCUCAUAUAUUUAGAUAUUAGACUGAGGUGUUACAUAUGUUUUCAUUAAAAAUAUUUUUCUUGUAUUUAAUUUUCAUUAAAAAAGUAGUUCAGCAUAUUCUCCCUACACGGGUUAUUUUCACAAAUAAACUUGGUAUUAAAUAAUAUUAUUAUCAUAUAAAAAAGAAUUAUAUAAUAUUUAUAUAUACACAUGCAUACUGCAACUCCCAACCUUUUUUGGAUCCGGUUAGCAUGAAAUUAUUUUUUUAGUAAGUUGGUCAAUUGACUAAUAGAAUAGUGACACGCAUACAAUCUCACCUACGUAUCAGUAUUCUAUUGGUCAAUUGACCAACUUACCCCAAAAUAAACUUCAUACUAACCACUUCCCUUUUUUUNNNNNNNNNNNNNNNNNNNNNNNNNNNNNNNNNNNNNNNNNNNNNNNNNNNNNNNNNNNNNNNNNNNNNNNNNNNNNNNNNNNNNNNNNNNNNNNNNNNNNNNNNNNNNNNNNNNNNNNNNNNNNNNNNNNNNNNNNNNNNNNNNNNNNNNNNNNNNNNNNNNNNNNNNNNNNNNNNNNNNNNNNNNNNNNNNNNNNNNNNNNNNNNNNNNNNNNNNNNNNNNNNNNNNNNNNNNNNNNNNNNNNNNNNNNNNNNNNNNNNNNNNNNNNNNNNNNNNNNNNNNNNNNNNNNNNNNNNNNNNNNNNNNNNNNNNNNNNNNNNNNNNNNNNNNNNNNNNNNNNNNNNNNNNNNNNNNNNNNNNNNNNNNNNNNNNNNNNNNNNNNNNNNNNNNNNNNNNNNNNNNNNNNNNNNNNNNNNNNNNNNNNNNNNNNNNNNNNNNNNNNNNNNNNNNNNNNNNNNNNNNNNNNNNNNNNNNNNNNNNNNUUUUUUUUUUUUUAUGUGAUACUCCAUUGUUGCUCGGAGUAGUAUUUUCCUUCAUCUCUCUCCAAUCAUUCACGGGAUUAAAAUAUUUUACUCAUUUUUAUUUGUGUCUCGAUUUCCGUGCUAAUCGUGAUAUUGGAUGAUGACACACAGUCCAGUUCAUCAACUUGUAGUAUGUUGGUUGACUGGCCACCCGUGAUAAUUUUUCUUUCUUUGUCGAGAGUCUAGACACAAAAAAUAAAUCUCACUUUCUAUUCUCUACUUUUUAUACUAGUUGUACCCAAGGAAAAAAUGCUUUUACCACAAAAAUAACAGUAAGAGUUUCUUUUCAUUGGUCUACAAGCUCUCCCGAAAUUUGAUCAUUACCAAUUUUACUUUCUUCUUCAUAGGUUUCCAUACAAGUCCUAAAUAAAAUACAAAGAUUCCCUUUGGAUUUACCAUUAACCACCCCGUAAAAAAAUUUAUCCUUCAAGCAUGGCCUUGGCGGCAUCAAUUAAGAGAGGUCUUAGAUCAUGUGAAGCUCGACCAAGCACAGUGUACCCCUCUUUGUCCUCUACAUCCACAUCUGCUCCAUGUCUUAUCAGAAGCAUAGCCACCUGUUCACCGCACAAAAAACAGCAGAUUUGUUACCUUCUGUUUUUAUGGUGUACAUAAACAAGUUUCACUAUAAUUAUUUCAGCAGAUAGCCAAAGGCAAGUACUACACCCAACCACUAAAAUCAACAACAACAACAACAAAAAGAUAGUAAACAGAAUUUGCCAAGUGAAGAGAAUUUUAUAGUCAUGUAAAUGAUUUAUAUACAACACUCAAUUAAGUUUGUUCGUGACUUGAAAUGAAACUCACACAUUUGACAACAGAUCUAAAAAGAACAGAACCAAUAUCUUACAACAUAAGUCGAAACCUGGCUAGUACAAGUAUCAAUGCAUAAACCAUAAAUCGUACAGUUUAGACAUUUAUUAUGGUAUACAUCUCAAUUACCUCUCUGUUGUCGCAGAUCACUGCAUUCAUUAGAGAUGUUUGACCUGCCCUAUCAACAGCAUCAACCUCCGCUCCUUCCUCAAUCAGGAGUUCACACAACUCUGAGUUCCCAGUGCUUGCUGCACGGUGGAGUGGGGUGCAUCCAACCUGAGUGACAUGAACAUUGCACAUUCAACUAUGAAACAGAGGAUGCUAUAUUGAUAAAAUAAAUAAAAGACAAUACCCAUUGAAAGAAAAAUAAGACAAUAUUAUAUAAUUCAGAUGUCCAUAUAAGUGAAAGCAUGAGACUACUAACCUUAUCUUUUGUGUUCAGCUUCGCACCAUUUGAAAUCAGAAGUUCAGCUAUUUUUAACCACCCCUUGCUAGCUGCAUAGUGAAGAGCAGUGCGACCACCAUCAUUUUUCAAAUUAACAUCAGCUCCUGUUCAUCAGAAUUUAAUUUUAGUCCAAGGGUAAUGACUUACAAAAACCAAAUACUAUCAGCUAUGGGUUAUUAUGAUGUAUGCUUCUAUUCUAUAUUUCGUGUGCUACAUGAUGUAAGAUGCUAGAGCUAAGCAGAAAGUAGUAACAGUCUAUGUUAAGAACAAGGAGUGUCAUUACAUCAGCAUCAAUAACCCAAAAUCACUAAUCUACUGUUUGAAAUGGGUAUGCAAUUGUUUAGAAGCUUCAUCAGACAGAGGAGAAAGAAGGGGAGGCACGAGUGUAGGUAUGAUAUUACCUACAUCACUAGCUGAUCUACUAAUACAGUAGUCAUCCAAAAAUAUAAGAUUACUGCUGAAUGAGAAUCAUCAGUUCAGAGUAAUUUGAUGCCACAUUCAAAACAAUUGUCCAAAAAGGACAAACUAAUUUUUAAAUGAGCACUAAAACCGUAACCACUUCUGUAUUCUGGCUCUUAAAGGAAAACUCCUCUACACAGUCGCAAAGUGCAACUUGAGCAUACCAAUUAACAAUGUACAUGGAUGGAAUUAGAGAAGUAUACUCAGUGAACAUGGAGUUACAACAGUUAAAUCACCUUUUCACAUUUAAUCCUGCAUGAAAAAGGUGAUUAAAUUUAAAAUUUUGUACAGAAUAGUUUGUCAAUCACAAACAAUAUCUAAUGAAUGCAAGCUCUUUCGAGGGAGCAAACAACUCUUUCCAAUUGCAUAAGGUGUUUUUGACUCAAGCUUCUAUUUCUUUCUCAGUUGAACCCAUAAGGUGCUCUUUGACUUGAAAUCUUGAAAGUUGCGCGGGGAAGAUUAGUUAUUUUGUUGAAGUACCAACCUUACAGAGAACUUCAUCAAGAUAUCAAAAAAGGAGCAAUUAAUUAUAUAUAAGCAAAAUUUAUAUACAGAGUGGCCACAUAGAUUGAUGAAUCAUUGGAUCCGAGUACUUCAAAAUAUUGCACCACUGAUGAAUAUCAUUACUCCAAAAUCGUCACAACCACAUUAUUUAGUAUGUGAAUUCUGUAUAAAAUAUCAUGUAUUAUUGUAUUACUAUAUUAUACUCGCUCCAUACCAAUAUAUUAGUCGUUUAAGGACCUUUUUUUUUGUUCCAAUAUAUUAUCGUUCUCUCUUAUCUAGGAUAUAAAGUUAUCUACAUUCCUAUGAUACCCCUAAUUUAUCUCCUCUUUCCAAGGACAUUUUUCCCAUAAAAAAACACUACUAUUCUCUUUCCUCUCUCUUAUUUAAUGUUUUCCAAUAAAAACAUAAAGUGGCAAAUAUGGAAAUUGAGACCUAUAUUAAUUAUGAAGUAAUGACAUUCUUAAUAUGUUUGUUUUAUGUUAUAAUGUCUAAUAACUUGAAAUGGAGGGAGUAUUUGUUAAAAACUAAUAGCACUUUAGAGGAAAGAAAACAGUAAGAAGGUUGUCAGCAACUCAGCAUACAAUUAAGAUUUUCAUGUUCAGUUUUUGGGACCUGGGUGUGGGACUCAGCUUCGGUCCCAAAAAAAUAUUAGUGAGAUACCGUAGAGGCUGUAUGGUGCCACUGAGUUUUUUGCAAAUUCUCAACAUGAUCUAGAAGCAAUUAUAUCCUUACCUCUGCUCAGUAGAAUCUCCACAAUUUCAACAUGCCCACUGCUAGCUGCAGAAUGCAGUGGUGCCCAGCCUUCUUCAUCAGUACUGUUUAUACCACUAAUUAACAGAUCAGCGGCUGAAAGUAUCUUCACUACCUGUUACAUUACAAAUUCAAGCAGAACUACUGUUAAAUACACAUUAAAUUCAUAACCCAAAAAAAUGAAUUAUACAUAGCAGAACAACUAGCUUACGCAUAAUACCAAAAACCAAAAUGCACAAAAAAAUUAAAACUCAAACAAAUGGCCAACCCCUCCCCUCCCCUCCAAAUAAAUAAAUAAAGUCCUAAUGUGUGUCACCUGUUCAAAGUAGGACCUGACAUUACAUAACAAUGUAACCAAUAAGCUGCUUUCCCCAUUUUCAAACUACAUUAAAAAUAGCAAACUUAUUUUCUAGCAAAUGGUAAACUUAGUAAUCCCACUAGUUCAAUAACAGUACUAAAGAUCAGUUCUUCCGGUCUAGUUGUGGGAAAAUAAAAUUAAAAAAACAACUAAAUUCAAAACCGUUAAAUUAUAUGACCAUUUGAUCUAAGUUUAUCGCCAAAACUGCAAAUCAUAUAAAAAUUCAAUUUUACUUUGGAGGGAGGAGACGGACCUCGGUGCGGCCAGAAGAGGCGGCAACAUGAAGGAGGGAACGUUGGUCUUCGUUGCGGAGAGAGAGAGUAUUGAGAAGCUGUUGCUGAGGGAGGGAUUUGAAGACCGAAAAGUCGCCCGAUUCAGCGGCUCUAAAUAGUUCUUCUUCUUUGAUUUGGUGGGUUUCUUUGAUUUCUGGCUUCGGUAGAUCGAUCUCCAUCUCAAUUUCGCCCGGUACUGAUAUCAGCGUGUGAUGAUUUCAGGGUUUUUAGGGUUUUUGGCUUUGCUGUGUCUGGUUGGUUCUAUUGCAAGCUUUGCUGCUGAUAGUCUGAUACCGUAGCUUUCUAGCUUGAAUUGAAAGUAAUAUAAUUAGAAUAAAUAAUUGUUUCUUACAAAUAAAUUUUUCCUACAGCAUAAAAAUUUUAAAAAAAAAAACUUUAUCAUUUGAUAGUUUAAUGAUAAAUAGCUUUGUUUUUACUGUGCAAUUAAAAUCUACUUCUAAAUAAGAAGUUGGAUUUGAGCAUGUGCUUUAGAAAACAAAAGUAAAAAAAAAAAACUUUAUGAAUCCUGAAUAUAUCAAAUAAUUCCUUAAAAACAAUUAACAGACAUUUAGAAAUAUACUUCUCUUAAUUUUGCUGGGUUCAAGAGUCUAAACUUGUAACAAAAUAUUGUACACCUCUUUUUUCACAUCACAAUUCAAAAUAUUUUCGCACAUAUUAUAAAAAGUAAAUUAAAGUAGAAGAAAAAAAAUUUAAGCUUAUUUAUAGUAACUCCACACAAUUACAUAAAAUGAUGUUUUAUUUAUUUAUUUAUUAGUGGACUCCAAUAAAUAAUAUAUUUACCUUUUACUAAUAUAUGUACUUAUUGUUAUUUUGAAGAUAAAAAAAAAAUUGUAUAUUAAUCCAUUGUUUUGAAGGCCGAGAGAAUACCUUUUACAUACAAUUGUACCAUAAGUAUUAGUGUGAUGUAAAAAAAAAUAUAAAAUGACCGAAUCCUCUCUUUAUUUUUAUUUUUUUAAAAAGAAAUGGAUGAGUAGUAAUACUAGGUCUGUACCACACCAUACAUUAUCUACAAAUGUGACCGAUAUCUGAUUUUUGUGGGAGUCAUUAGCAUAAAUUGAAUUUUAUGGUAAGUUCAUUUCAUAAUUAAUAUAGUGAUGAUACGUAAGCAAAUAAAUUAUCAUCUUGUCUAUGUGUCAAUACUGUAUUAUGCAUGAAGUAAACAACUAUAAAGUUCACUUCAUACUAAGUAUUAGUCGGUCGUUUCUCAAGAAUUUAAGUUUGAGAAAGAUAGAUAUUCAUGAUAGAAAUAAGUAGUAGAAUACAAGAAUAUUGUGUAUAACAUUAAAUUAAGUUAAGUUAGUUGAAAAUUUAACCUUUACUUUAUAGUGUAAUUAGACAAAAAUUAAAAUUUAUACAAAAUUUGUUCUCAAUUCCAAUACUAAAAUUUAGAAUUAAGUUAGUAAAAAUAUACUCAAUUAAAGGUACAAUUUUUUUGUUCUCAAAAUGAUAAAAUAAAAUAUAUAAAAUGUUUAUUAGUAUAAAAAAUAAAAUACAUAUCAUUUUAUAUAAUUUUAAAGAAUCAUUAAAGAUAAAUUUUUUAAAAAAAAUAAUUUAUUUUUACUUUUAUUUGCACAUAUUUUGGGGAUAUAUAUUUUGUUGAUUAGGAUAAAAAUAUCGUGACAAGUCGACAGGCUGAGAAGUUGUGAGCCACAGAAUCCAGUGUGAUUAACUUCCUCCUUAUGUUUGUGAGUAUCAAAACACGCUCUCAACGGGGGAAGCACAAAAGGAUAAAAUAGUAAAUCCAAAGUAAUCUCUCUCAUUUAUCCACUACAACUAAUUUAAUCCCGGGAGUCUUUGCUCAUAAAUAAGCCUCCAACAUCCAACUAUUCCAUCAUUCCAAUUUCCAACCACCCAUUUUGAUCUCCACUCUAGCCAUUCCAAGAUAUGGACGCCUUUUUCGGCAGCAAGCCCACUGAAGGUGAUGAUCAGAAGGACCACUCAAAACCAUCCAACUCUGACCUAUUUUCCAGCGCCAAGCUGUUAGCUGAGGCCGCCAAAUCCAGCUUCAGCAACCAAUCCGACAACGUUGACAAGGCCAAGCUCGCCGGCGCAGCCGAAAACCUCCUCAACGCCGCCGAGGAAUAUGGAAAACUUGACGAAAAGGGGUACGGUACCUAUGUUGACAAAGCAGAAGACUAUCUUCACAAGUUUUCCACCCCCACCACCACAGCGCUGCCGGCCGCAGCCCCCCCGGCUCCGGCCCCGGCACCGGCCCCUCAUGAUUCUGAAGAAGAAAAGCCUGCAGGAAUUGGUGGGGUUGGAGAUGUUAUGAAGAUGGCUGGAGGUUUCUUCAAGUAGAAUUAAGUACUACUCGAAAAAACCUCCUCAACGCCGCCGAGGAAUAUGGAAAACUUGACGAAAAGGGGUACGGUACCUAUGUUGACAAAGCAGAAGACUAUCUUCACAAGUUUUCCACCCCCACCACCACAGCGCUGCCGGCCGCAGCCCCCCCGGCUCCGGCCCCGGCACCGGCCCCUCAUGAUUCUGAAGAAGAAAAGCCUGCAGGAAUUGGUGGGGUUGGAGAUGUUAUGAAGAUGGCUGGAGGUUUCUUCAAGUAGAAUUAAGUACUACUCGAUCGAUCGAAUAUAUAUAAUUCAUAUAUAUUCCUCCUUCCUAUAUGUAGUAAUUAAUUUCUUGUGUAUUGUUGUUGUUGUACUGUCCUGUCCACUCCUUGAUUUGGGUGCAUGUUUUGUUGGCUUGUUUGUUUGUUUGGAGUAAUGAGUGGUGUUUUAACUAGCAGUGGCUUAUGGUGCAGUGAAUUAACCAUCUCAUGUACAUGUAGUAGUAUUAAUAACGUCUACUCUUUUCCAAGAGUAAUACUACUGCUAUUGUAUUUGUGAUUAUAACAAUAUACUCUAUGCCUGUGUGAUUGUGUUCAUCUGUGGUAGAGCAAAAAAAAACUUUUCAAAUUGAAUUUAGUUGAUUUUGUUACUACCUCCCCCAUAA
rnacentral:lncRNA from 1 species